GACGAACGCUGGCGGCGUGCUAAACACAUGCAAGUCGAACGAAGAGCGACGGAAGCUUGCUUCUAUCAAUCUUAGUGGCGCACGGGUGAGUAACGCGUAAUCAACCUGCCCUUCAGAGGGGGACAACAGUUGGAAACGACUGCUAAUACCGCAUACGAUCUAAUCUCGGCAUCGAGGAUGGAUGAAAGGUGGCCUCUACAUGUAAGCUAUCACUGAAGGAGGGGAUUGCGUCUGAUUAGCUAGUUGGAGGGGUAACGGCCCACCAAGGCGAUGAUCAGUAGCCGGUCUGAGAGGAUGAACGGCCACAUUGGGACUGAGACACGGCCCAGACUCCUACGGGAGGCAGCAGUGGGGAAUCUUCCGCAAUGGACGAAAGUCUGACGGAGCAACGCCGCGUGAGUGAUGACGGCCUUCGGGUUGUAAAGCUCUGUUAAUCGGGACGAAAGGCCUUCUUGCGAAUAGUGAGAAGGAUUGACGGUACCGGAAUAGAAAGCCACGGCUAACUACGUG
rnacentral:rRNA from 1 species